GGCUAGUUCGAAGGUAGUGACUUAUUUUAAUUGAUUGUUCACAGUCAGUUACAGAUAAUACUCUUUGUUCUACUCUUUCCCACCUUCUCACUACUGCACUUGACUAGUCUAAA
ensembl:misc_RNA Y_RNA Y RNA